CCAUGCCGCGUGUGUGAAGAAGGCUUUUGGUUGUAAAGCACUUUAAGCGAGGAGGAGGGCACUUUGGCUAAUACCCGAAUGUGUCGGACGUUACUCGCAGAAUAAGCACCGGCUAACUCUGUGCCAGCAGCCGCGGUAAUACAGAGGGUGCGAGCGUUAAUCGGAAUUACUGGGCGUAAAGCGCGCGUAGGCGGUUAUGUAAGUUGGAUGUGAAAUCCCUGGGCUUAACCUGGGCACUGCAUUCAAAACUGCAUAGCUAGAGUAUGGGAGAGGAUGGUAGAAUUCCAGGUGUAGCGGUGAAAUGCGUAGAGAUCUGGAGGAAUACCCGAUGGCGAAGGCAACCAUCUGGCCUAAUACUGACGCUGAGGUGCGAAACAUGGGGAGCAACAGGAUUAGAUACCCUGGUANUCCAUGCCGUAACGAUGUCACUAGCCGUUGGGG
rnacentral:rRNA from 1 species